GCCCGCGCACGUCGUCAACAA
rnacentral:misc_RNA from 1 species